rnacentral:tRNA from 1 species
GGAGGAUUACCCAAGUUCGGCUGAAGGGAUCGGUCUUGAAAACCGACAGGUGGUUAACGCCACGCGGGGGUUCAAAUCCCUCAUCCUCCU